UGCCAAGUUGAAGACCCAUGUAGGGAA
rnacentral:piRNA from 1 species